rnacentral:rRNA from 1 species
UGGAAGUAAAAAGUCGUAACAAGGUCUCCGUUGGUGAACCAGCGGAGGGAUCAUUACCGAGUUUACAACUCCCAAACCCAAUGUGAACGUUACCAAACUGUUGCCUCGGCGGGAUCUCUGCCCCGGGUGCGUCGCAGCCCCGGACCAAGGCGCCCGCCGGAGGACCAACCAAAACUCUUUUGUAUACCCCCUCGCGGGUUUUUAUAUCUGAGCCAUCUCGGCGCCUCUCGUAGGCGUUUCGAAAAUGAAUCAAAACUUUCAACAACGGAUCUCUUGGUUCUGGCAUCGAUGAAGAACGCAGCGAAAUGCGAUAAGUAAUGUGAAUUGCAGAAUUCAGUGAAUCAUCGAAUCUUUGAACGCACAUUGCGCCCGCCAGUAUUCUGGCGGGCAUGCCUGUCCGAGCGUCAUUUCAACCCUCGAACCCCUCCGGGGGGUCGGCGUUGGGGAUCGGCCCUUUACGGGGCCGGCCCCGAAAUACAGUGGCGGUCUCGCCGCAGCCUCUCCUGCGCAGUAGUUUGCACACUCGCAUCGGGAGCGCGGCGCGUCCAUUGCCGUAAAACACCCAACUUUCUGAAAUGUUGACCUCGGAUCAGGUAGGAAUACCCGCUGAACUUAAGCAUAUCAAUAAGCGGAGGA